AAGAAAGCCUGCUGAGUGGAAAGGGGAAAAGGGAAAUUUGAGAUCAAGCCAUCCCAGACCAGAGCCAUCUUCCUUGUCCAGCUCUGAACUCCCUCUCUCUGCCUCAUUUCUUUAACCCCGGGUCAGAGCAUGCUGCUCCCUUUGCUCAUGAUUUCUCCUUUCCUGGUGCAGCGGAGUUCACACUAGCUGGUGUUCUGGUAGAUGGAAAGGUUGCCUCUCCUGGGCUUCCCUCAUUUUAGCCGGGUUCCCCCCUUCUUCACGUUUUGCCCUUCCUAGGUAGUUGGAGUCUAGUUCCUAGGUAAUGCCAGCCAUAGCUGAGGGCCAGGGGAGCAGGUGGCUGUGCAAAGCCACUUCCAGCCUGUGGACAAGGGGCUGAGACACGGAAAAUCUACCAGUGCCCAUUCCGGCUUAGGCCUGGCUGGGGCAGCCUUGGGUCAAGUCCUCUCUGUAGUCCCGGUUUCCACCAACAUCAGGAAGGGGAGCCGCAAGAACCAUCUAGGCAGGCGCCCGGGGACUGUGUCAGGAAGACCUGGGUUUAAGCCCUGCCUCCAUCAAUCUCAAGAUGCGGGACCUCAGGGAAGGGAGGAGAGGUACCACGAAGGAUAUGCACGGAAGCCGCCAUCACCCGAGUUCCUCAUCUGUCAGGUAUGCCUGGUAAUGGAACCUCACAGGAAUUCUAGUAAGCAAAUUAAACAAUUUAAAGAAAAUCACUUGGCAAUAUAUAAUAUGCCAGGAGUGAGGAGGCAUUCCAGGCCAGGCCUCAUUUUCCUCCUCUGUGACUUCCUUGUCCACAGCUCAAUCUCAUUUCCACCCAGAAGAGGACACAACUCCCCACUGUCACUCACCGUGAUGCUUCAGUUCUCUCUCCAAACAACUGGAUUAUAAAUUCCUCAAUGGCAGGAGCUAUGUCCUUAUAUUUUAAAAGAUCCUUAACAACCACCACCACCACUACCACCACCUUGUCCUCAACUUUAACUCUAGCGAAAAACACCAGAAGCCAAGCCAGCCUGGGAAAGAAGCGUCUCUCAGCCAGGAUCCCUGACAAGGACACGCCUGCUCCGUGGGGAAGUCUUAGGUACUAUGCACUUGGCCUUCACCACAAAAGCCCCGCGGCCCAGGCGUCCUUACCCUGGACUCAAAAUCAGUUUGGAGAUGGGGCUGGGAUCAGAGCGAUUCUUCAGUUAGGAAGUUAAAGCAGCAUUUACUGAAGCAAGCGGCCAGAACUGCUGGGGCUGACAUUGUACCUUUUCUGUUUGGUUUCAUUUUCCUCCCCAGCCGGCUCCUGAAAGAACCCUCUUGCUCUCAAACCAAUGUUUGUAAGUAUCUCUCCGAGUGUCCCUCUGAGCUUUGCGGCCCCUGGGCUGCGGCUUGGGCAACCAAAGCAGAGACUGAUCUCCCUGUCAUUGCAGAAUUAUAUCCGGGGAUUAACCAUGAAAGGGAAAAAAGCAGCAUUUCCAGUUGGGUGUUUGAAAAUGAAAAGUGGUUCAGAAGGAGCGCAGAUAGGUAACUGCAAGACUGUGAUCAAAGGCACUUUGAACCUCAUUAAUUUGGAACUUUGUAUUUAAACGUGUAAUUUGGACAUAAAUUGUGCUUAAAUUUGUCUUCGUACUAUUCACAGCGAGGCUAACUAGUGUAUGAAAACUGCAAAGGGACCCCUGGGCAUCAUCGCGCAAUUGUUUUAUGCCACUUCUACUAUUUUAACCGUUACUAUAUUUGCUUUUAACAGUUUAUAUCCGGUCACCAAAACCUACAUUUAGCAACACGGUUUGCACCUGGCUUUUGGAAAUCAGCAGUCCCCCCACGGAGCAUCAGCUAACAGGCUGGGAACUCUUUGUCAACAAGUUCUUAAACGGCCCACAAUUAGGCUAAGAGCUUGCAUUAUUUAGCUGGUGCUCA